rnacentral:rRNA from 1 species
UAGCUGGUUUCUCAAGAAAAGAAUCUUAGUCCAACCUAAAGUACACCCCAACCACCUAAUUUCCCACAUCUUUAGAGCAAUUCAAAUGAGGUACAGCCCAUUUGAUCCAGGAUACAACCUUCCAUAAUGGGUAAUAUUUAACUACACCACCCCAAGUAGGCUUAACAGCAGCCACCUUUAAAAAAGCGUCAAAGCUUAAUCCAACUUUACUAAUUUAAAAAUUUAUAUCAACCCCUUUAACCCUAUUGAGAACUUCUAUAAUUUUAUAGAACCUUUUAUGCUAAAACUAGUAACAAGGGGUAAACUCCCUCCUAAAUGCAAGUGUAAGCCAACAAGAACCCACCAUUGGCAACUAACAGAUACAAAGUAGCAACCCCCCACUAGAAAACCCUACCCAACCCCCUGUUAACCUAACACAAGAUCAUUUCAAGAAAGAUUAAAAGAAAAAAAAGGAACUCGGCAAAUCCUAGCCCCGCCUGUUUACCAAAAACAUCGCCUCUUGCCUACAUAAGAGGUCCAGCCUGCCCAGUGACCCCGUUCAACGGCCGCGGUAUCCUAACCGUGCGAAGGUAGCGUAAUCACUUGUCUUCCAAAUAAAGACUAGUAUGAAAGGCACCACGAGGGCUAAACUGUCUCCUCUUUCUAAUCCGUGAACCUAAUCUCCCCGUGAAGAAGCNGGNNUAAAACUAUAAGACGAG